UGCCCACAGCAGUCCUUUCUCUUGAAUCAGGGCCAGCAAUGGUGUCACCCAGACGCUGUUGACUAACUAACGUACAACAGAUUUACUUAACCACUGGCAAACCACAUUUCCUUUUCCAGGGCAAUAACUUAAAAGAUUAUUUAUCUCCCUUUGUUGCAAAGAGAGGAAAUACUUCUUCCUGGACUCAGGGCAGCUGUGACCCGUCCUCCCAGAGAAAUCAUUAAACCACAAGGAUUCAGACAGAGCCGAGAGCCCUGAAAACUUUGGCCACGCGCUUCCUUCCCCUCAGCAGCCACAGGCACCAGCAACUCCAGAGAGCCAGAUACCAGUGGAAGGAGGAACGAAGCGGUUUAGAACACCAUUCUCCAUUUCAUUCUGGUGGGACAAUAGCUUCUCUCAUCCCAGAAAAUUAACUGAAUGCAGCUGCCAGAGGCUGAAUAAGAGUUGGCAAUUUGGUCUGGCAAUUUGGUUCUCAUAAAGUCAUCUUGCAGUGACUUUAACAGCAGAGUCAGAACCAGCCCGAGGAACAGAACAGACCCUGGCAAGUGUGGACCUCUGACACAUUACUAAA